rnacentral:rRNA from 1 species
UACGUAGGGGGCAAGCGUUGUCCGGAUUUAUUGGGCGUAAAGAGCGUGUAGGCGGCCAUGUAGGUCCGUUGUGAAAACUCGAGGCUCAACCUCGAGACGCCGAUGGAAACCAUGUGGCUAGAGUCCGGAAGAGGAGAGUGGAAUUCCUGGUGUAGCGGUGAAAUGCGCAGAUAUCAGGAAGAACACCCGUGGCUAAGGCGGCUCUCUGGGACGGUACUGACGCUGAGACGCGAAAAGCAUGGGGGAGCGAAACAGG